AUUUAGUUUAAUGGAGAUUAUAGGUUACAUUACACUAAAUCAUUGUGUAUCCCUCCGUGGUCCAUUCGAAAGUAGUGCCUAUUUCUAAAGAGUUCCUUUUCUCUUCUUGAAUAUAAGCCAUUUAACAAUGUGAGACAUGUCUUUUGUGGUUAUUUGUAAUAUCCUGUAUGUGUCUGGAGUACUUUGAUGCCUUGGAUUGGAAGCUAACUUAAAAGAUGAACUUUUGAGGGUGUGUUUUCUAUUGUGUGGGGCUUUUGUCGAAAUUAGGAUUCCGAAACGCGUUUUUCUACGGUGGGUUCAUUCGACAGCGAUUUACUUUCUUAGAAGUUGCGAGACGGUAUGUUUUUGAUUGCAAUUAUUGGAAGAUGACAGAUCCAUCUUUAAAAUGAUACCAGGUUAGGAAAAAUUGAUACGUCGGAAAGGCAAGAAAAAUGCUGUGAAAGUUGUCAGUUUUAUAAUGGGACCCUAUGGGAAUCGGAAUUAGUGUAAUAUAACCUUUAAAAAGCACAUUUACUGCAAUGUCAAGGUCACAUGGAUUCGUCUGCAAGCGAGACAAGUAGAAAAUGAAUUUUAAUGAAUGUUUUGAUGAUUUGGGUGCUAAAAUAGAUGAGAGAUGUCAAUAUUUUGGUCCAAAUGGAUGUUUUAGGUGGUUUUGGACUGUUCCGGAUGGGUGGGGGACCUGGUAUGGACAAGUAAGGGUAACAUUUCCAACAAAUCUUAAAUGUAAAUAUUAUUAUGUCCAUAGAUUGAAGUUUCAGGUGGAGAGCAAGAUGAAAAAUAUGCCAAAUUACAUGCAUGCAACCCAUUUAUGCCAUUUUUCUCUUUGUUUGUAGGCCUGACCGUUUGUCCUUGAGCCGUAGAUGGUCAACAAUCCGCUAGCUGUCUUGCUCUGACUGGUGCACUGGACAUGAUUUCAAUAGUCAGCCAGACCAUGAUUGAGCUUAAGGAUUGUGCUGCGGAUGCAGCCUGUGCAGUUCCGGGAGAAAGUCACUGUCUUGGGCAAUGCGGUCUGGUAUCAGGUCUGGAUGAUCCUUGCCUGUCUGCGGGUUUGUGUACACCUCAAUCCGACUCUGUGUCCUGAACAGAGGCCGCAGUGGUGCAGCGCUUGUGGACGAUCCAUCAACAUCCUGAAAGGUCAACACUACACCAAGCUGGGAAAAUUGAUCCUGAUAGUCAUCCCCAGGUAGUGGAAUGAAUGUACACUGAACUACAGAGGAAUCACACCCAAAUGACUUUCCUGCCACGACAUUAGUGUGGCCACUCGCGUAGGAAUUCCUUAACCAACGUGCUCUUUUGCAUGGUGACUGUGGGCAUUUUUGCAAAACUUACGCUUUCAACACUGGAUUUUAAAGGGAAUACUUAAUAAAAUGUCGCUAACAGGACUUAUUUAUAUGAGAGAGACUAUCUGGAUGCGCAUUAAGUGUCACUUUGUGUCGUAAGCUGUUGAAGGAGCGAUUUGCGCCUUUUUAAGUGUUAAUUUUGGGUAGCCGGCUUGUAUCGGCUUGAAAGCUGCAAAUUAUGCCUCUCAUCAUAAUAGCAUUAAUUUUUGUAAAUGCAAUGUGUAUGU